rnacentral:rRNA from 1 species
UACAGAGGGGGCAAGCGUUGUUCGGAAUUACUGGGCGUAAAGGGCGCGUAGGCGGCCUGUUAAGUCGAACGUGAAAUCCCCGGGCUCAACCCGGGAACUGCGUCCGAUACUGGCAGGCUUGAAUUCGGGAGAGGGAUGUGGAAUUCCAGGUGUAGCGGUGAAAUGCGUAGAUAUCUGGAGGAACACCGGUGGCGAAGGCGGCAUCCUGGACCGAUAUGACGCUGAUGCGCGAAAGCCAGGGGAGCAAACGGGG